rnacentral:rRNA from 1 species
UGCUUGCACCUUUCAAGCGAGUGGCGAACGGGUGAGUAACACGUGGAUAACCUGCCUCAAGGCUGGGGAUAACAUUUGGAAACAGAUGCUAAUACCGAAUAAAACUUAGUAUCGCAUGAUACAAAGUUGAAAGGCGCUACGGCGUCACCUAGAGAUGGGUCCGCGGUGCAUUAGUUAGUUGGUGGGGUAAAGGCCUACCAAGACAAUGAUGCAUAGCCGAGUUGAGAGACUGAUCGGCCACAUUGGGACUGAGACACGGCCCAAACUCCUACGGGAGGCUGCAGUAGGGAAUCUUCCACAAUGGGCGAAAGCCUGAUGGAGCAACGCCGCGUGUGUGAUGAAGGCUUUAGGGUCGUAAAGCACUGUUGUAUGGGAAGAAAUGCUAGAAUAGGGAAUGAUUCUAGUUCGACGGUACCAUACCAGAAAGGGACGGCUAAAUACGUGCCAGCAGCCGCGGUAAUACGUAUGUCCCGAGCGUUAUCCGGAUUUAUUGGGCGUAAAGCGAGCGCAGACGGUUGAUUAAGUCUGAUGUGAAAGCCCGGAGCUCAACUCCGGAAUGGCAUUGGAAACUGGUUAACUUGAGUGUUGUAGAGGUAAGUGGAACUCCUUGUUAAACCG